rnacentral:rRNA from 1 species
GCGGCAUGCCUAACACAUGCAAGUCGAACGGUUUUGGAGCUUGCUCCAAGAUAGUGGCGGACGGGUGAGUAACGCGUAGGAAUCUACCUUAUAGAGGGGGACAACCCGGGGAAACUCGGGCUAAUACCGCAUAAUAAUCGAGAGAUGAAAGUAUUGGCCCUUUUGGCCAUACGCUAUAAGCUGCGCCUGCGUUGGAUUGGCUAGUUGGUGGGGUAAAGGCCUACCAAGGCGACGACCCAUAACUGGGCUGAGAGGAUGAUCAGCCACAUUGGGACUGAGACACGGCCCAAACUCCUACGGGAGGCAGCAGUGGGGAAUAUUGGACAAUGGGCGCAAGCCUGAGCCAGCCAUGCCGCGUGUGUGAUGAAGGCCUUAGGGUUGUAAAGCUCUUUCACCGGAGAAGAUAAUGACGGUAUCCGGAGAAGAAGCCCCGGCUAACUUCGUGCCAGCCGCCGCGGUAA